rnacentral:misc_RNA from 1 species
GCAGGAGCCAAACUAAAUACAGGGGCCAUGACUCCCAACUUUGAAAAUUUAUAUUAUUUUUUUUUCCACACAUUUUAUAUAAUGCUUUGUGAAAAAAUAGUUUUGGCCCUUCCAAAACUCAUAAAUUUUCAUACAACCCCAAUAUCAUAAACAAUUUUUUUUCAUUCUAAAUAUAUGUUUGGCUCUCCAAUUUUAAAGCUCUAGUUCCGCCUCUUGGUGCUCGAUUUGAAUCUCAUCGGUGGCAGAUCCACGUCUCUGUAAUAAAAAAAAUAACAACUGUCUGAAAUCAGUUAGAUGAAUUAUAUUUUGCCAUUCAAAUACAUUUUAGACCUAAUCCACAACCUGAUACUUAAAAAAACAAUAACAAUAAAAUAAGGAACUAGUAAGUAAAUAUGGACAACAAAUUCAUUGCACAAAGGAAUACAGAUUGUUAAACUUGGGCACAUGAGAUAUCUGAUUCUUGGCUGUUGUGCGAAUGAUCUCCUUUGCAUGACUCCUCAACUUGAGCUGCAAACUGCAGGUUCCACAGAACAUCCUCAAUCGAUGGCCUAUCAGAUUGCUCGUCUGCCAAACAUCUAAUGCAUAUUUCCAUCAUUAUCUUCAAUGAUUCUUCUCCACAUUCCUUGGCAACUGCUGGAUCAACAAUGCUCCUUCGAGCUUUAUGGUCAAUUGCUAUGCUUACUUGGAGUAGAUCUUUUACAACAGAUACUUCAUCAUUGGACAUGAUUGGCCUCCCAACAAUGAUUUCAACUAAGAUUACUCCCAAGUCAUACACUUCUUUCUUAUCAUCAUCAUUUUCCCUUGUCAAAAUUCUUUGUUUUAGUCCUGGAGAUGAAAAUACAGUUCCCACCAUUCCAUUACUUUCGGCUAACAAUGGCAGGUAAAAACUGCCGAUUUUUACAUGAAGAUCAUGAUCCAAUAGAACAUCUGUUAUCUUCAGAUUGUUAGAAUAUACACCAGGGACAACCCCAGUAUGCAGGAACUGAAUACCCUUUGUAACUCCAAUAGCAGCUCCAAUUCUUUUUUUCCAAGUCAUCUUUUUCCCUGGAAGUCCUGCCAGACAAAGAGCUAACGUGACAACAGCACAUUUAUUAUAUCCAGCACAAAAGAGUUAAUAUAGUUUUCUAUUUUAGACUUUAUUAAAUUCUUAAACACAAGUUUCAAAAAAGAUAAUCAGUUCACCAGAGGUGUAUUCUCUUAGUGUCCCAUUGGGAACAAACUCGAAAAUAAGAAAUAUUCUGCUGAUGCUUGAAUCAUCCUGGCAGGAGUCGAAGCAGUGUCCAAGAGCACUGACCAAAUGGUUAUGCCUGAGUUUGGAGAUCAACUCAAUAUGGUGAGUAAUGGUCUGCUGGCUGUGCUUUUUCUUCACUGUCAAGCUUCUAACAGCUACAAGAUUUCCAUCACUGAGCUUUCCCUUGUAAAUCUUAUUAUGUGAACCAUCACCCAGUAAAUUUGAGUCAUCAAAAUUAUUUGUAGCCUCCUUAAGCUCCUCCAAAGCAAAGGCACGGUAGGCAGGAAGGCUAGCUCCCAGCUUCAUUGUUUGCGAUAUGUGCCUUGCGUCUGAAAUCAGCUUUACUGUGUUUACAGUUGACACGUUCGCCAUAAUUAGCCUUGCUUUAGGCUUUUUCACAAUAUGUCUAAAACUAGGCACUCUUCUGAUAACCAAGAAAACCAGACCAACAAUUGCAAUCCCUCCAAUAGUCCAUCCUAUUGUGCUUGAUGCAGGAACUCCUUUGCCAUGAGGCCUAUUGUGCUUCUCCUUAUCAUGAGGCUUCACAGCUAGUGCUUCAUUGUUGCAGAAAUUAGAGGGAUGCUGCUCUUGUUCUUGGCAGGACAAGCAAUUUCUAGCAUACAAGACAACCCUGGUCUUGGAGCUAGAUUUAAGGCUGGUAGGCAAGUCUCCACUUAAAAGAUUUGAGGAUAAAUCUACAGAGGAAAGAUCAGAAUUGCAGGACAUGUUUUGAAAGAGAAGUCCUGUGAAUUUGUUCUGUGAAAUAUUGAUGUAAUUUAUGGAAGGGAGGGACAGUAAUGAUGGAAGAAAGGGUCCUACAAAUCCAUUCAUGGACAUGUCAAGCCUUUGAAGUUGAUAGUAGGAGAUCAAUUCAGAAGGGAUGCCAAACUGAAAGCUAUUAUUUCUGAGCAUAAUAGUCAGUAACCUGCUGUUCAAAUUUGGAAAAUGAGGCCCAAAAUAAUUGCCCUCUAAAUCAAGAACUUGAAGGUUUGUCAAGUUAUGAAGGUCAGGCACUUCUCCAGACAAAUGAUUCUUAGAAACCGAAAAAAUUCGAAGAUUUUCCAUGCUAUUCAUCGUAUUCGGCAGAGACCCAAUAAGUGAAUUGUUCUUCAAGCUCAAUACAGCCAGAAGAGGAAGUGAACUUAGCCAACCAGGAACUUGGCCGGUAAACCUGUUAUGGUCUAACACAAGUGUUUGAAGGCUCAUCAAAGAUGAAAGUUGCUCUGGAAUGGCACCAGUGAAGUGAUUUGAACUUACAUUAAGUAUUUCCAGUGAAGAUAACUGACCAAUAGUUGCAGGCAAUGGGCCCCAUAAGCCAAGAGAAACCAGAGACAGGACCUUCAAGCUAGAUAAAGUAACAAGAGAGUCAAAGAAAGCUUCAGUGGAGAUAUUUUGAAGCAGAGGAAGCCCACUGUUUCCUACAAUGUGAAGCUGGGUUAUGUUAUCUUCAUAGCACACCAGAGUUAGAGAUGAAGUUGGUCCAAUAUUGCAGAAAUCUGUGGAAAUGUUAAAGCUGCCAUUGCCAAGGAGUGAUGGGUAGUUAAGAAGCUGCUGAAUUAGCGGAAGAGACUGAGAAUGAGAUUGAGAGGGUUGCAGCUGCUGGCUUGAAUGAUGAAAGAGUGACAAAAAAAACAGUACAAAAAGAAGAUGAUAAGGAUGCUGAACUGGGUUUUCCAUCAAAACUGUGUCUAAGAUAAUGGUUAUAGGAUUACAGGUUUAGAAAGUUUUAAAGAGGCUUCACCAUAUGACGUUGGGAAAUGAUGAAAACUCUCCCUCUAUCUCUCUCUUUCUCUCUCUCUAAUUUUCUCUAGUUUUUGUGUCUUAGAUUAAGUUUAUUGUAAUUGAUUUUGCUUAUCUGUGUUGAUUGGGUCUCAGUGUUUUUUUUUUUUUUUG